rnacentral:rRNA from 1 species
UACGAAGGGGGCUAGCGUUGCUCGGAAUCACUGGGCGUAAAGCGCGCGUAGGCGGCCCUGUAAGUCCGCUGUGAAAGUCAAAGGCUCAACCUUUGAAAGCCGGUGGAUACUGCAGGGCUAGAGUCCGGAAGAGGCGAGCGGAAUUCCCGGUGUAGCGGUAAUAUGCGUAGAUAUCGGGAGGAACACCAGUGGCGAAGGCGGCUCUCUGGGGUAUUUCUGACGCUGAGGCACGAAAGCCAGGGGAGCGAACGGG